AUUGAACGCUAGCGGGAUGCUUUACACAUGCAAGUCGAACGGCAGCGCGGACUUCGGUCUGGCGGCGAGUGGCGAACGGGUGAGUAAUGUAUCGGAACGUGCCCAGUAGCGGGGGAUAACUACGCGAAAGCGUAGCUAAUACCGCAUACGCCCUACGUGGGAAAGCAGGGGCUCGUAAGACCUUGCACUCUUGGAGCGGCCGAUAUCGGAUUAGCUAGUUGGUGAGGUAACGGCUCACCAAGGCGACGAUCCGUAGCUGGUUUGAGAGGACGACCAGCCACACUGGGACUGAGACACGGCCCAGACUCCUACGGGAGGCAGCAGUGGGGAAUUUUGGACAAUGGGGGCAACCCUGAUCCAGCCAUCCCGCGUGUGCGAUGAAGGCCUUCGGGUUGUAAAGCACUUUUGGCAGGAAAGAAACGUCGCGGGCUAAUACCCCGUGGAACUGACGGUACCUGCAGAAUAAGCACCGGCUAACUACGUG
rnacentral:rRNA from 1 species